rnacentral:rRNA from 1 species
AUUGAACGCUGGCGGCAGGCCUAACACAUGCAAGUCGAGCGGAGCGGCGGACGGGCGAGUAAUGCCUAGGAAUCUGCCUGGUAGUGGGGGCUAACGUCCGGCAACGGACGCUAAUACCGCAUACUAUCAGAUGAGCCUGGGUCGGAUUAGCUAGUUGGUGGGGUAAAGGCCUACCAAGGCGACGAUCCGUACCUGGUCUGAGAGGAUGAUCAGUCACACUGGAACUGAGAACCGGCCCAGACUCCUACGGGAGGCAGCAGUGGGGAAUAUUGGAGAAUGGGCGAAAGUCUGAUCCAGCCAUGCCGCGUGUGUGAAGAAGGUCUUCGGAUUGUAAAGCACUUUAAGCGGGGAGGAGUUACCAGGAGAAUAAGCACCGGCUAACUUCGUGCCAGCAGCCGCGGUAAUUC